rnacentral:rRNA from 1 species
AUUGAACGCUGGCGGCAUGCCUAACACAUGCAAGUCGAGCGGCAGCAGGGGGCUUGGUACUUGGUUGCGAGGCGCGCGCGUGAGUGAUACCUAUCAGUCCACGUGGUAGUGGGGGAUAUCGUCCGGCGACGGGCGGUAUUAUCCCACACGUCAUGUGCGAGAGAAAGGGGGGUCUUCGCACGCCACGCGCUCAGAUGUGCCUAGGUCGGAUUAGCUAGUUGGUGGGGUAAAGGCCUACCAAGGCGACGAUCCGUAACUGGUCUGAGAGGAUGAUCAGUCACACUGGAACUGAGACACGGUCCAGACUCCUACGGGAGGCAGCAGUGGGGAAUAUUGAACAAUGGGCGAAAGCCUGAUCCAGCAAUGCCGCGUGUGUGAAGAAGGUCUUCGGAUUGUAAAGCACUUUUGGCCGGGAGGAAGGGCAUUGACUUAAUACGUUCGUGUGUUGACGUUACCGACAGAAUAAGCACCGGCUAACUACGUG